rnacentral:rRNA from 1 species
UAGGGAAUCUUCCACAAUGGACGAAAGUCUGAUGUAGCAACGCCGCGUGAGUGAAGAAGGGUUUCGGCUCGUAAAGCUCUGUUGGUAGUGAAGAAAGAUAGAGGUAGUAACUGGCCUUUAUUUGACGGUAAUUACUUAGAAAGUCACGGCUAACUACGUGCC